rnacentral:misc_RNA from 1 species
UGGAGUUCUUGGACAGCGGCAGGUAUCUUGGUGUGUACAGCUGGAGUGUAUUUCAUUCCUUAUUUUCAACAGUAUUCUCUUUUCAACAGUGCAUCAGUGCGGAAUCGGACUUUAAUUCUAGUAAUCUAACCUUGAAUCAGGACAGUCGACAGGUCAAUGAACUAGAUCUAGGGCACGUUAAAAUUACAGGUCGUCUUAUAAGCACCAUGGCUAGUUGCAGCAAGAAAGUUCUUGAAGAUUUAGAGAGGAAAGCCUCACAAUGUGACUACAUCCGCUUCACUGUGGCAGACAUGAAUGGCAUUGCACGAGGAAAAGUAGUUCCAAGAAGAAACCUUUUAUCCAUGGCAAAACAAGGAGUCGGCAUCUAUGGAGGAAUACUGGGGAUUGGGCCUAAUGGAGAGAUAACAUUUUUUCAAGAAGUCAAGGAUACAAACCAUGGUAACGUUCAAUUGAUACCAGAGCCAAAUACUUUCCAUCUUGUACCAUUUGAUAACAGUGAGGUCAUCACGGGUGAAGUCAUUUGUGAACCACAUUGGUAUGAAGAUGGUACAUACCAAUCUGCAUCACCACGGUAUGUUGCACGGCAACAACUACAACGUCUGGAUGAUAUGGGUUUAUCAGUGAAAUCUUCAUGUGAGUUAGAAUUCCUUAUGUUUGAGAAAGAUCGUACAACCCCUGUUUUCUCAGGAAGGGACAUUUGUGUCCAUAGUGUAUUCGCUUCAUCUCAGCGGCUUAUCUACGAUAUUGAACAACGUCUAUACAAAGCGGGUGUUGACCUCGAAACACUGCAGACUGAGUACACUGGUGGUCAGUUUGAACUGGUUAUGAAACCUAUGCUUGGGAUCCAGGGAGCCGACAAUGUAUUUAAUGCCAAAGCAGGUAUAAAAGAAAUCUGUCAGACCAAUGAUCACUUUGCAACAUUCAUUACAAAGGCUGGGCCUGAGGUUGGCAAUGGUUUGCAUUUUAACUAUUCAUUGUACAACAAAGAUGACAGAAACAUAUUGUAUGAUCCUACCCAGAAGUAUAAUCUCUCCGAGUUUGCCCAGCAAUGGAUUGGGGGAAUCAUACAUCAUGCACGAGCUAUCACAGUUCUCCAUGCCUCCACUGUGAACUGUUUUAGGCGUGUGGGCACUCCUUGGGCAGCUACCAAGGCAGACUGGGGCAUCCAGAAUCGCAUGAAUACCCUCAGGGUUAAGAACAAAGAUGAAAAUGGGACUUAUUUUGAGAACCGCAUGAGCGGUGGUUUGGGUAACCCAUACCUCAUAAUGGCGGCAAACAUUGCAGCUGGUCUUGAUGGAGUAAAAAACAAAAUGUCACUACCCCAGGAGAAUAACGAAGAUGCAGUCUUGCUCCCUAAAACACUGAAGGAGGGUAUCAAAGCACUAGAGGAUGAUGAGGUAAUCUGUGAUGCCUUAGGAAAUCAAUUCGUACGCUGGUUCAAAGAGGUGAAAGAGAUUGGUGAGAUGAAUUUUGUGGACGUUGACAUUCCUGACACUGAAGAGGCCUUACUUAAAGAAAAGGAGCUCUACAUGCAUUUAAUGUAGACAUAAGACUAGGUUUUGAUUUAAAUAGUGUACACCCUAUAACUAAUAAAAAUCCAAAUGUAGUGCAGUGAUCGCCCAAUUUUGGAAAUUAAACCACGUGAAUAUUCUACUUAUUCAAACAUUCUGAAGAAGUAUCAACCCCCAAUUAAUAGUCUGGGUACACUAUUGCAUCUUUUGUGCAAGAAUGAAAGAUGUAGAUUGUAUUGUAUUGUUUAUUGUUUACCACCAAUAAAGGUGAGCAAUACCUCUUGGGUAUAUCCCAUAUAUAUACGGUCGUAAUUAAGGUAAUUAGCCAGAAACCCCUCCUCAAAGGAGACCUGUGUUCUUUUAUGUGCACCCAUACAUAGAUAUACCAGUGCAAGUACACACCACAGCCUUUUGUACGAGUUGUGGACCACUCAGAAAGAUGAUGUGUGGAAUGAGUUAAUAAACAUUGUUUAUCUGAAAAUAGCACAUGGUCAUGAAAUAAGUGCACCCUGACCUUAACACACAUGGUGAUAUUAAGCUAGCAUUAGAG